AGUUUUGAUCAUGGCUCAGGAUGAACGCUAGCGACAGGCUUAACACAUGCAAGUCGAGGGGAAACGAUAUUGGAAGCUUGCUUCCGAUAGGCGUCGACCGGCGCACGGGUGAGUAACGCGUAUCCAACCUGCCCACCACUUGGGGAUAACCUUGCGAAAGUAAGACUAAUACCCAAUGACGUCUCUAGAAGACAUCUGAAAGAGAUUUAAAGAUUUAUCGGUGAUGGAUGGGGAUGCGUCUGAUUAGCUUGUUGGCGGGGUAACGGCCCACCAAGGCGACGAUCGGUAGGGGUUCUGAGAGGAAGGUCCCCCACAUUGGAACUGAGACACGGUCCAAACUCCUACGGGAGGCAGCAGUGAGGAAUAUUGGUCAAUGGACGCAAGUCUGAACCAGCCAAGUAGCGUGCAGGAUGACGGCCCUAUGGGUUGUAAACUGCUUUUAUGCGGGGAUAAAGUUAGGGAUGUAUCCCUUUUUGCAGGUACCGCAUGAAUAAGGACCGGCUAAUUCCGUG
rnacentral:rRNA from 1 species